UACGUAGGGUGCAAGCGUUGUCCGGAAUUAUUGGGCGUAAAGGGCUCGUAGGCGGUUUGUCACGUCGGGUGUGAAAACUCGGGGCUCAACCCCGAGCCUGCUUCCGAUACGGGCAGACUGGAGGUAUGCAGGGGAGAACGGAAUUCCUGGUGUAGCGGUGAAAUGCGCAGAUAUCAGGAGGAACACCGGUGGCGAAGGCGGUUCUCUGGGCAUUACCUGACGCUGAGGAGCGAAAGUGUGGGGAGCGAACAGG
rnacentral:rRNA from 1 species